UACAGAGGGUGCAAGCGUUAAUCGGAAUUACUGGGCGUAAAGCGCACGUAGGUGGCUUGAUAAGUUGGGUGUGAAAUCCCCGGGCUUAACCUGGGAAUUGCAUUCAAGACUGUCUUGCUAGAGUGUGGAAGAGGGAAGCGGAAUUCCAGGUGUAGCGGUGAAAUGCGUAGAUAUCGUUUGGAACGCCAAUGGUGAAAACAACUUGCUGGGGGUGUGCUGACGCUGAGACACGAAAGCCAGGGGAGCAAACGGG
rnacentral:rRNA from 1 species